GCUCCGAAUACCCCCAAUUUAUCUUAUCUUUAAGUCUCAUAUCUAGCUUAGGUAGUUGCCUUUCAUUUUAAGUCAUAAAACUUGGGUGUGGCGUUUCGACAUUUUCAUAUGCAAGCCUACCAAAGCUGAAAAUGUUCAAAAUGUACUAUAAGGGAGGCAUACCAGUUGAAUCCCCGCUUAAACAUUAAUUGUACUCUUUGCAAGCAACUCUUUUUCUUGCAAUUGACCGUCUUUAAUAGGGGUGUUCAAAAUGAAGUUGAAAACUGAACCAAAUCACUAAUCGAACUGAGAUCGAACCAAAACCGAACCGAAAACGAAUGCAUACGGUUUGAUUCGGUUUCUAUUUUAAACAAACCGCAUAAAAUUCGGUUCGGUUUGGUUCGGUUUAAGAUGUUAAGAACCGAUUCUCAAACCAAACCGAAUUGCUUUAUUU
rnacentral:lncRNA from 1 species